rnacentral:tRNA from 1 species
GGUAUAGCUCAGUGGUAGAGUGCAUGCUUAGCAUGCAUGAGGUCCUGGGUUCAGUUGCCAGCACC